GGCGCUGUGACUUAGUAGGUUAAAGUCCUUGUCUCAUAAACAUUAGAUCCUGGGUUUAAUUCCCAGCGGUGCCU
rnacentral:tRNA from 1 species